rnacentral:misc_RNA from 1 species
CCGUGGAUUCUUGACGAUGGAGACCGCUUUUCUCCAUCUCUGCAAGGCUUCCUCUGAUGGAUUCUUGUGCGGCACUUCAAAGUCCUUCAAAAGGUUCUCCAUUCUGCUUGGGACUGCAAGUCUGUAUGUGAAACUUCAGCUGAGGAGGCCAAUAGUAGUGCUAAGACUCUGUUUGGUAAGAGGGAAAUGAGAGGAAAGGAAAGAGAAAGGAGAAGAAAAUUAAGCUACAAGUACUGUUGCAUACAUGGAAGGAAGGAGAUGGGAGUACUGUUG